AAAGGACUUUGAAAAGAGAGUUAAAUAGUGCGUGAAACUGCACAGUGAAAAGCGAAUGAGCACGCAUUUGUUCGGCUUACAAUUCAGAUGUGUGGUGUCGAGGUUCAUUAACUUUGACAUCGCGUAUCGUUAUUUGUUGGCAGACGACCUGCCUGGCUUGGAUUCGGGGCGGCCACGGCUAAGUACGCAAACACCUUGUGUGUAUUGCAUGUAGUCAAUUGAGUGCAAAUUUGCACUUGUGUGGUUGGUUGGAAAUCCGAUCGUCCACCGGCUCCGAGCUGGGGAAACCCAACUGCAAGGCUUCUUGAUGGUCAUGGGUAUUUGGCGCACACGCGUGGUGACUAAUUGCGCGCGUAUGCCUUUGCGUACUGAUUGCAUCGGUCUUGCGGCGAUGGCAGGAUAUGUUGCGGCAUCAUUUGAACCGUCUUGAAACACGGGCUAAGGAGUUCAACAGAUGCGCGAGUUUACUGGUCUCAAGAAACCAGGGUGCGGAGUUAACGCGAUUUUGUGUAUAAUCGUGAUAAUCGUCAGGUUGCAAAGCUUGUCGAGUCAUCACCUUUGAUGGAUGGUGCAUUCGUGCUGGUUGCCGUUCGCAGUCGAGCGCAUAUGCUGAGACCCGAAAGAUGGUGAACUAUGCCUGAGUAGGAUGAAGCCGGAGGAAACUCUGGUGGAGGUCCGAAGCGUUUUUGACGUGCAAAUCAAUCGUCAGACUUGGGUAUAGGGGCGAAAGACUAAUCGAACCAUCUAGUAGCUGGUUCCCUUCGAA
rnacentral:rRNA from 1 species